AUCUUCCAGGUUUCUUACCCAUCAGAUCUGAAUACUGAUCUGAGUGGUUAUAAAAGGAUGGAAAGUAAAAUUGAAGUUGACAUUAGCUUCAUUCUUUUGUGACACAAAAGCUAGUUUCACACAAAC
ensembl:snoRNA